rnacentral:piRNA from 1 species
AGGCAAGGAUUCAGUGACCAUAAGUCCAGC